UCCAGACUCCUACGGGAGGCAGCAGUGAGGAAUAUUGGUCAAUGGCCGAAGGGCUGAACCAGCCAAGCCGCGUGAAGGAAUAAGGCCCUACGGGUCGUAAACUUCUUUAGUCAGGGAACAAAGGGAGCCACGCGUGGCGCUGUGAGUGUACCUGAAGAAUAAGCAUCGGCUAACUCCGUGCCAGCAGCCGCGGUAAUACGUAGGGAGCGAGCGUUAUCCGGAAUUAUUGGGUGUAAAGGGUGCGUAGACGGGAAAGCAAGUUAGUUGUGAAAUCCCUCGGCUUAACUGAGGAACUGCAACUAAAACUACUUUUCUUGAGUGCAGGAGAGGUAAGUGGAAUUCCUAGUGUAGCGGUGAAAUGCGUAGAUAUUAGGAGGAACACCAGUGGCGAAGGCGACUUACUGGACUGUAACUGACGUUGAGGCACGAAAGUGUGGGGAGCAAACAGGAUUAGAUACCCCCGUAC
rnacentral:rRNA from 1 species